GAUUAACGCUGGCGGAAUGUAUAAUACAUGCAAGUCGAGCGAGAAGUUUUAGUAGCUUGCUACUGAAAUGGACAGCGGCGAACGAGUGAGUAACACGUUGGAACCUGCCCCGAACUCAGGGAUAAGCACUGGAAACGGUGUCUAAUACCGGAUAGUCCCGAAAGGGUAAAGAUUUUUCGGUUCGGGAGGGUCCUGCGGCCUAUCAGCUAGUUGGUGAGGUAAAGGCUUACCAAGGCUACGACGGGUAACUGGUCUGAGAGGAUGACCAGUCACGAUGGGACUGAGACACGGCCCAUACUCCUACGGGAGGCAGCAGUAGGGAAUCUUCCACAAUGGGCGAAAGCCUGAUGGAGCAAUUCCGCGUGGUCGAUGAAGCAUCUAGGUGUGUAAAGACCUUUUCUGGGGGAAGAAUUAUGACGGUACCCUAGGAAUAAGCACCGGCUAACUCCG
rnacentral:rRNA from 1 species